rnacentral:lncRNA from 1 species
GCUUUUCUAAGCAGAAAUGCUGCAGAAUUUUGAUCAUACAUGAUAGAGGAUUUAGAACUUGUCUUUGUCUCAUGCAAUCCAAUGACUGAUCUAUUUGAUUCUCAGGGGGAAAGAGAAACAAACUAUUUUAUGAGAAUUGUUCUGGGAAAUGUAUUCACCUGGAACACAUUUCCUUGGUUCUUGGCUGGCCUUACAGAGCGGCCAUAACUGACUGCUGAGAGACAGGACAUUGAAAUGAUAGUUUAUUUUUACUUCUCGGUGGUUUCUGAUUACAGACAGCAUCCUGUAAAUAUAACUUUAUUGUCUUGAGAUGUCUAUUGAAGAUUACUAUAUUUUUCUGUUUUGAACGAUUUUGCCACUUAAAAUCGUUCAGUGCAAAAGAUGACUAGCUAUUCUGAGGCAGGUGGAUUUCCCAUGCAAACUGAAUCCUCAACGCAUUUCAGAAGGCUUUUACUGUAUUAGGUAACAUGAGAUAUUAAAGGAUUUUUCUAGGCAAGAUGCUCAGCCUUUUUUUUUCCCCCCAUAAAAGUACUUUUACUCAAAUUGUAACUCAUGUUUUUCUUUCAUGAAAUGGAGUGGUUAUUGAAGUGUUCACACUGAAGUAGGAGAAGGGUGCAUAUACACCGCUUUUUCUGGCUUCCCCUUGUCUUAGCCAAUUGUGAUUUGCACACCGGGGUAACUCAGGACAGAAAAUAGCAAGUUUGAGUUUGCAUUUCUCUACCAUAGGUACCACUUAGUCUAUCUAAAUGUCUUAAAUAUCCCAAAUACAGUCUUAAAUUACUAAACAUUAAUGUUUUUAUCUGGCCAGCUAUUUUCAAGGGGUUUCAUUACAUGACUUUGCUUUUGUUCUGAGCUACCAUUAACUGUAAGUUACUUGAGUUUCUGUCAAAAAAAGGAAAAAAGUCAUGACUUUCAUGUCUGUGUGGAAGCAUUUUCAAGAAUAAAUUUUACUAACUUAAUUACAGAAUUAUCAGCUUUACCCCUGACAAGACAUUGUGUAUGUUUAGAGUAGAUUAAAAGUUUGCUAAUUCUAUUCUGCUGUGUCCUUGGGAUUACACCAAUUUCAGAGUAUUACCAGCUUGGAAGCUUAUGUCUAUAACAGGUCAUUGUAAUCUUCAUUUGGAAGAUGCAUAUUUGGAAGGAUAAUCAAUAAACUGCUCUGUUUACACAUG